GGGUAGUUUGACUGGGGCGGUCUCCUCCUAAAGAGUAACGGAGGAGCACGAAGGUUGGCUAAUCCUGGUCGGACAUCAGGAGGUUAGUGCAAUGGCAUAAGCCAGCUUGACUGCGAGCGUGACGGCGCGAGCAGGUGCGAAAGCAGGUCAUAGUGAUCCGGUGGUUCUGAAUGGAAGGGCCAUCGCUCAACGGAUAAAAGGUACUCCGGGGAUAACAGGCUGAUACCGCCCAAGAGUUCAUAUCGACGGCGGUGUUUGGCACCUCGAUGUCGGCUCAUCACAUCCUGGGGCUGAAGUAGGUCCCAAGGGUAUGGCUGUUCGCCAUUUAAAGUGGUACGCGAGCUGGGUUUAGAACGUCGUGAGACAGUUCGGUCCCUAUCUGCCGUGGGCGCUGGAGAACUGAGGGGGGCUGCUCCUAGUACGAGAGGACCGGAGUGGACGCAUCACUGGUGUUCGGGUUGUCAUGCCAAUGGCACUGCCCGGUAGCUAAAUGCGGAAGAGAUAAGUGCUGAAAGCAUCUAAGCACGAAACUUGCCCCGAGAUGAGUUCUCCCUGAGACUUUAAGUCUCCUGAAGGAACGUUGAAGACGACGACGUUGAUAGGCCGGGUGUGUAAGCGCAGCGAUGCGUUGAGCUAACCGGUACUAAUGAACCGUGAGGCUUAACCUUACAACGCCGAAG
rnacentral:rRNA from 1 species